AGGAUGACCCAGCCACACUGGAACUGAGACACGGUCCAGACUCCUACGGGAGGCAGCAGUGGGGAAUAUUGCACAAUGGGCGCAAGCCUGAUGCAGCCAUGCCGCGUGUAUGAAGAAGGCCUUCCGGGUUGUAAAGUACUUUCAGCGGGGAGGAAGGCGAUGUGGUUAAUAACCGCNUCGAUUGACGUUACCCGCAGAAGAAGCACCGGCUAACUCCGUGCCAGCAGCCGCGGUAAUACGGAGGGUGCAAGCGUUAAUCGGAAUUACUGGGCGUAAAGCGCACGCAGGCGGUCUGUUAAGUCAGAUGUGAAAUCCCCGGGCUUAACCUGGGAAGNNGCAUUUGAAACUGGCAGGCUUGAGUCUCGUAGAGGGGGGUAGAAUUCCAGGUGUAGCGGUGAAAUGCGUAGAGAUCUGGAGGAAUACCGGUGGCGAAGGCGGCCCCCUGGANGAAGACUNNCNCUCAGGUGCUGAAAGCGUGGGGAGCAAACAG
rnacentral:rRNA from 1 species